rnacentral:rRNA from 1 species
GCUCUUUUGGGUCUUGUAAUUGGAAUGAGUACAAUUUAAAUCCCUUAACGAGGAACAAUUGGAGGGCAAGUCUGGUGCCAGCAGCCGCGGUAAUUCCAGCCAAUAGCGUAUAUUAAAGUUGUUGCAGUUAAAAAGCUCGUAGUUGAACCUUGGGCCUGGCUGGCCGGUCCGCCUCACCGCGUGUACUGGUCCGGCCGGGCCUUUCCUUCUGGGGAACCUCAUGCCCUUCACUGGGCGUGUUGGGGAACCAGGACUUUUACUUUGAAAAAAUUAGAGUGUUCAAAGCAGGCCUUUGCUCGAAUACAUUAGCAUGGAAUAAUAGAAUAGGACGUGUGGUUCUAUUUUGUUGGUUUCUAGGACCGCCGUAAUGAUUAAUAGGGAUAGUCGGGGGCAUCAGUAUUCAAUCGUCAGAGGUGAAAUUCUUGGAUUGAUUGAAGACUAACUACUGCGAAAGCAUUUGCCAAGGAUGUUUUCAUUAAUCAGUGAACGAAAGUUAGGGGAUCGAAGACGAUCAGAUACCGUCGUAGUCUUAACCAUAAACUAUGCCGACUAGGGAUCGGACGGUGUUAGUAUUUUGACCCGUUCGGCACCUUACGAGAAAUCAAAGUUUUUGGGUUCUGGGGGGAGUAUGGUCGCAAGGCUGAAACUUAAAGAAAUUGACGGAAGGGCACCACCAGGCGUGGAGCCUGCGGCCUUUAUUUUGACCCAACACGGGGAAACUCACCGGGCCCGGAGACACGGAAAGGUUUACAGACUGAUGCCCGGACACGGAAAGGAUUGACAGACUGAUGGCUCUUUCUCCAAUUCGUGGGUGGUGGAGCAUGGCCGUUCUUAGUUGGGGGAGUGAUUUGUUGCCGUUCUUAGUUGGUGGAGUGAUUUGUCUGGUUAUGGCCGUUCUUAGUUGGU